rfam:Camelus ferus unplaced genomic scaffold scaffold2807, whole genome shotgun sequence.
AGGGGCGAGCUCAGUGGUAGAGCGCAUGCUUAGCACGCACGAGGUCCUGGGUUCAAUCCCUAGUGUACCUC